UACGUAGGGACCGAGCGUUGUCCGGAAUCAUUGGGCGUAAAGAGCGUGUAGGCGGCCACUUAAGUCCUGCGUGAAAUCUUGCGGCUCAACCGCAAGCGGUCGUGGGAAACUGGGUGGCUAGAGUGCGGGAGAGGAGAGUGGAAUUCCUGGUGUAGCGGUGGAAUGCGCAGAUAUCAGGAGGAACACCGGUGGCGAAGGCGGCAUCCUGGACCAACACUGACGCUGAGGAGCGAAAGCCAGGGGAGCAAACGGG
rnacentral:rRNA from 1 species